CUUUUUAAGAGUUUGAUCCUGGCUCAGGAUGAACGCUAGUGAGAUACUUUACACAUGCAAGUUAGACCUAAAUUAGAUUAAAAUUUUGUAGCGAACGGGUGUGUAACACGUAAAAACUUGCCUUUAGGAAAAGAAUAACAUAUGGAAACAUUUAUUAAAAUUUUAUAUUUAGAAUGAAAAGAGGAUAUAGAAAAAAGUCUUUAUAUCUUUGUUUAAAGAAAGAUUUGCGUCUAAUUAGCUUAUUAAUAGAGUAAUUUUCUAUUAAGGCGAGGAUUAGUAUUUGGUUUGGGAGAAUGAUCAGACACAUUGAAACUGAGACACGGUUCAAACUCCUACGGGAGGCAGCAGUGAGGAAUCUUCCGCAAUGGGCGUAAGCUUGACGGAGUAAUUUCGCGUGAAGGAUGAAAAUUUAUGGAUUGUAAACUUCUUUUUUCAAGGAGGAAUUCUGACGUUUAAUUGAAGAAUAAGCAUCGGCUAAUUCCGUGCCAGCAGCCGCGGUAAGACGGGAGAUGUAGGUGUUAUCCGAAGUUAUUGGGCGUAAAGCGUUUGUAGGUUGUUUGAUAAGUCCAUUGUUAAAUCUUAAAGCUUAACUUUAAACACGUGAUCGAAACUAACAGACUAAGAGUAUGGUAAAGGUAAAAGAAAUUUUUGGAGUAACGGUAAAAUGUGCAGAUACUAAGAGGAAGAGCAGUGGCGAAAGCAUUUUACUGGGCUUUAAUACUGACAUUUAGAAACGAAAGCUAUGGUAGCAAAUGGGAUUAGAUACCCCAGUAGUCUUAGCUGUAAACGAUGGUUACUAUUUGCUGAAUAUUAUAUUUUAUGCAGUGUUGAAGCUAACGCAUUAAGUAUCCCGCCUGGGAAGUACGCUCGCAAGAGUAAAACUCAAAGGAAUUGACGGGGGUCCGCGCAAGCGGUGGAGCAUGUGGUUUAAUUCGAUGCAACACGAUGAACCUUACCAGAGUUUGACAUGAUUAUGAAUUUUUUUGAAAGAAUAAAGUGCCUAUAUCAAUACCAAGUGUAAAAUAUAUUUACAUAGGAACAUAUCCACAGGUGGUGCAUGGCUGUCGUCAGUUCGUGUCGUGAGAUGUCGGGUUAAGUCCUGUAACGAGCGUAACCCUUAUCUUUAGUUGCUAUCUAUCAUUAGAAAUCUAAAGAAACAGCUGAUUAUAAGUUUGAGGAAGGAGAGGAUAACGUCAAGUCAGCAUGCCCCUUAUAUUCUGGGCUACACACGUGCUACAAUGGAUAAGACAAUAAGAUGCAAUUUUGUGAAAAAAAGCUAAUCUCUAAACUUAUUCCAAGUUCGGAUUGUAGACUGCAACUCGUCUACAUAAAGUUGGAAUCGCUAGUAAUCGCUGGUCAGCUAUACAGCGGUGAAUUCGUUUUCGGACCUUGUACACACCGCCCGUCACACCAUGGGAAUGUAUAUUAUUUAAAAAUGUUUUUUUAAAAUUUUUGUGUCUCUUUUUAUCAUCUUAUAGAAAUAUUCAGAAUGAAAUUUGUAACUGGGGUGAAGUCGUAACAAGGUAACUGUACUGGAAGGUGUGGUUGGAAAAUUUUUCAU
rnacentral:rRNA from 1 species